AUGUACAUGCGUGUUAAUUGAAAUAUUUUUCGUUCAAAAAUGAUUUUAUAUGCUUAUUUGCUAAUUUGAAGGGCGAUAAUCGAUGUAAUGUUCCGUAAAAGUCGCGCGUCACAGGUCGAAUGUUUACAUCGUUUAAGCUCAAUUUUCCUAAAAUAUUGCCACUAUUGGAGGCGAACAUUUAGAAGACAAAUGAUUAACAGACUCAAGAGAUACCAUAGCAUUGGCUAAAUGCGCAUAUGUUUUGUUGUGGUUACGUAUGUGAUUUGUAACCGGAAUUCGCGAGUUUACAACUAUGAUUGAAGUAGACUAAACAUCUUGUUUACAUGCUAUUAUAUUAUGAUCCACAAACUCUUCAACAAUAACUUCCGGUAACUGUUACCAGUUAUAAACAAUGAAGUGUUUAAUUGGUUAAAUAAAAACGACGAUGACACUGCAUGAAAGCACAUCUUCAACCGGAAGCUUAUAUAAAAAUGGGCACACUGGAUUACUUUUAUAUGAACAACACCGUUGAUGUUGAGGAUUUACAGGUUCUCAGUCACUGGAUGAUGUAUUUUCGUGAAUUCUUGCAUCUAAAAGUUCCACUAUUGGAUGGACACUUUUUCUCUUCAAGCAAACAGUGAUUUUUUUUCAAAAGCUUGUUGUGCAGGAAAGACACGGUUUAAGGAAACAUUCAAUGAAUGGCCGAUUUAAUUAAUAGGAAUUUAAAAGAAAAUCAAGUCAAGAUUUUUAUGAACUUAUGAACUGAACAUUUCAUUAUUGCAUUUCAGUAUUGUUCAAAAAGGCCCCUGCCAUGAAAAUCUUAAUUGGAACUGAGUUAAAAAAGUAUCUCAUUAAAUAAUCCAGUAUUUAAAGCACCACAUGAACCUAUAAAAAUUGAACAUUUUGAUAUUUAUAAUAUGUUGUGAAGUAUAUGUGUAGAGAGCAAGUCAAUGAUAAUUGAAACUAUAAGUGAAUAAAUUUAUAAAUAAAAUUUUGCAAUAUAA